GCUUGCCCACUCGCUCUCAGAGGCCCUGUCUCUCUCAUGUUUGGUGGGUACCAGGGAUUUGGGAUGCAGAGGAUGGCCUUGGGUUCCCGUCUUCCGUGCUGCACCUCCUGGGAGUCUGGGCCUGGAGCUCUCUGGCCAGUACCCUCUUCCGUUCACAGCUGCAACCACCUGCCUCGCCUGCUGAGCCCCUCUCCCUGACAGAUCUUCAGCCGCAGCUGGUACCGGCUGCAGCGGGUUUUCCCCAUUCCCUGGUAAACGAAUAUGAACUCUACCAAUCUUAAACCACCUCUGUGCCGAGAACAGAGAAGAAGACCGUAAACAGGAGGGUCUGAGGGUCUGUGAGACUUUGAUAAAUCUCAACAGAGAUCGUGAACACGAGUCCUCGACCAGAGAGGGCCAUGGCUGGGGAGGCGGCCCUGGCGGCGGAGUUCUUCAGGGUCUGACAUCUCCCAGGUCUCUGGGUUUUCUUGACCUCAGGACAUCUGAGAUCUAGUUUGUCCUGAAUAUUGUAUGUGGGCUCACAAGCUGCAGGAAGUUGUGGGGGCUGGGUAGGGUCUGGGGCAGGAGGCUGAGAAGCCAGCUGUCCAAGAUGACAGACACCUGAGGCAAAGAACUUGGUGGCUACAUACUUAUGUCAGCCACUGUGAAGCCAGGGACCUCCACAAGCAGAAGACUUAGCAAGGGGCCGACGUAAGCCUUAGCUAGGGGAGAGGGGCUUUGUAAAUCGGAAGGAGCACCUUGAACUAUUUUCAAGGAGAGACAUUCACCCUGAAGGCUGACCCUGCCUGAGGCUCUGUCCACAGUAGCGGAACCCAAGCCAGUAAUGGCAGUUUUGUAAGGAAUUGGGAAAUGGGUUUUCCAAUGUGCAACAUCACUACUGUUCUAGUUUCUGGGGAUCGGUCUCUGUGCUUUGGGAGGCUCCAUUAAAUGAGAGUUGGGAUGUGGUGAGACA